CCAGACUCCUACGGGAGGCAGCAGUGGGGAAUAUUGCACAAUGGGGGAAACCCUGAUGCAGUGACGCCGCGUGAAGGAUGAAGUAUUUCGGUAUGUAAACUUCUAUCAGCAGGGAAGAAAAUGACGGUACCUGACUAAGAAGCCCCGGCUAACUACGUGCCAGCAGCCGCGGUAAUACGUAGGGGGCAAGCGUUAUCCGGAUUUACUGGGUGUAAAGGGAGCGUAGACGGCAUGGCAAGUCUGAUGUGAAAACCCGGGGCUCAACCCCGGGACUGCAUUGGAAACUGUCAGGCUGGAGUGUCGGAGAGGCAAGUGGAAUUCCUAGUGUAGCGGUGAAAUGCGUAGAUAUUAGGAGGAACACCAGUGGCGAAGGCGGCUUGCUGGACGAUGACUGACGUUGAGGCUCGAAAGCGUGGGGAGCAAACAGGAUUAGAUACCCCGGUA
rnacentral:rRNA from 1 species